rnacentral:lncRNA from 1 species
UUUGGGUUUAGAAUUUAGUCAUUAGGGUUUAGGGUUUAGUAUGUAUAAGUUUGCAGUUGUGGUUGAGAUCAUCAUUAAUUAAUUCAAUGUAAUUUGAUAAAUGAUGUUUUUGACAUCAUAGUGUAUGUGUUUCUUGAGGUCUUUCAAUCUUCUAUCGAGUUUGUCUAGCCUUUUUGUUAUCAUUUCAGGUACGGAGUAUGUAGAAUAGUGAAAAACAGGAUGCAUGAAGAAAUAUGCCAUUUUGGAGUGUUUC